CGCGGGCGUCGGAGAGAAAACCGGCGUUCGAGGAAAGUCCGGACACCGUAGGGCGGGGUGGUCGGGAGACCGACCCGGGGAAACCCGCGGGAAAGUGCCACAGAAAUACACCGCCUAAGCGGCGGGGCUGCACGUGGGCCUCGUCGCCGGCAAGGUUGAAAUGGUGCGGUAAGAGCGCACCGGCGGCGUGGUGACACGCCGGCCAGGCAAACCCCACCCGGUGCAAGGCCAAGCAGGGACGUUGACGCUGCCCGCCGAGUCCCAGGUAGGCCGCAGGGCCUCAGGGCCCGUCCCGGCGCGAGCCGGGGCAGAUGGAUGGCUGCCCACGACAAGAUCCGGCUUACCGGCCGGCUACGGAG
rnacentral:RNase_P_RNA from 1 species